UAACGCGUGAGGAACCUGCCUCAAAGAGGGGGACAACAGUUGGAAACGACUGCUAAUACCGCAUAAGCCCACGACCCGGCAUCGGGUUGAGGGAAAAGGAGCAAUCCGCUUUGAGAUGGCCUCGCGUCCGAUUAGCUAGUUGGUGAGGUAAUGGCCCACCAAGGCAGCGAUCGGUAGCCGGACUGAGAGGUUGAACGGCCACAUUGGGACUGAGACACGGCCCAGACUCCUACGGGAGGCAGCAGUGGGGAAUAUUGCACAAUGGGGGAAACCCUGAUGCAGCGACGCCGCGUGGAGGAAGAAGGUCUUCGGAUUGUAAACUCCUGUUGUUGAGGAAGAUAAUGACGGUACUCAACAAGGAAGUGACGGCUAACUACGUGCCAGCAGCCGCGGUAAAACGUAGGUCACAAGCGUUGUCCGGAAUUACUGGGUGUAAAGGGAGCGCAGGCGGGAAGACAAGUUGGAAGUGAAAUCUAUGGGCUCAACCCAUAAACUGCUUUCAAAACUGUUUUUCUUGAGUAGUGCAGAGGUAGGCGGAAUUCCCGGUGUAGCGGUGGAAUGCGUAGAUAUCGGGAGGAACACCAGUGGCGAAGGCGGCCUACUGGGCACCAACUGACGCUGAGGCUCGAAAGUGUGGGUAGCAAACAGGAUUAGAUACCCUGGUAGUCCACACCGUAAACGAUGAUUACUAGGUGU
rnacentral:rRNA from 1 species